rnacentral:lncRNA from 10 species
GCCCUGAUUCCAUCCUGGGCGGGUCGGCCCCGCAGCCGCUGCGCUCGGAACCCCCUAGGCGCCCCGCAGUACCCGGCGUCCUUCCUGCCUCCUCCUCGCCCCUGUCCUCCGUCCGAGCCCCAGUCCCGCCGACCCUGCCGGCGCCUCCGCCCUCCCGCCCUCCCGCCCUCGGUUUCCCACGACCUCGGCGCGACGCGCGCGGGAUCCAGUGGAGACUGCUUUCCCAUAGGCCGCCAUCCAGGGCGGGGAAGGGAGCGGACCCUCCCGGCUCCAGGUGCCUGGGCCCCCGGCGGCCUGCGGAGGCCUCGCCCCACGCCACCCGCCCACUGGCCUCGUCUUCGCGCGGGGGUGAGAGCAAAGGAGGCACUCGGCCCAUCGCCAGCCCGGGUCCCCUUCCUGCCCGUCGCUAUCCGAGAAUUUGCCCCGUGUCCCCCAGGCCGCGGGGGUCCGGAGAACCGAGGGGCGGACCCCGCAGAGGGCUGCGCCGCCCUCCCUUCUCUCCCCGCGGGAAGCAGCCCCCAGGACCGCCCCUCGCUCCCUGCCCGGGAGGGACUGGGCUUCCCCGAGAGAAAAGCAGCCUGAUUCGGAGGAACGGGUUGCUUGGGGCGGCUCCCAGCUCGAGUUGUGGGCCCCGCCGCGGGUGCCCUUCGGAAACGCGCUGACACCAGGCGAAGCCGCCUCUGCCCGGACGCAGCCCGACACUUGGCCCGCGGGGUUCCCCGGGACGCCUGAGAGUAAUGGGCGCGAGGGGGAAAGCCGAACGGCCUCCCUGUGCCCGGCGCAGGCGGUGCCCCCUAGCUGGGUUCGCCGCGGCGGCGCUGCGAGCCCCCGACACUGAGGACUUUUGGUCCAACAGUCCGACGGGGCCCGGUGCGCCGUUCCCUCCGCCCUCUCCCCGCUCCCCGGCCCGCGCGUCUUGGAGGGUGGGUGAAUUGUCGGAAGCACUCUACGCCUGGCCAACCCAAACCAGGAACCUCCGCACCAAACAGCCCACGUUGCUGCUGCUCUGGGGUUUUAACGGCCAAGGGAGACUGGAGAAGGGGUGUUCUGCCUUCCCAUUCUCUUAGGCCCGUCCACUCCCCAUCCCCACAGUUUGGAAGUGGCCUUUUCUGAGGACUCCAGCGCAAAGCAUGUUUCUCCUUUUGAGCUGCGGAAGCCUUGCUUGUUCCCGCCAUUGGGAGGGCAUUCCAUCAUCUGCAGCUGCCUUCCUCGGUGGGCCUUGUCCCUUAGCGUCCACCUAGGGGACAUUCUAAGCUUCUUGAGACCUGCUUGUCCACCCCAACAUGUCUCAGCAUAUGGCUGUGCCCUAAGGGGUCUUUGAGGGCAUUUUAGGAGGUGAGCGGCGCCCCUACCUGGGCUCCGCGGGGCCGAUUCGGUUUGCCCUUUGCUGGCAUGUCAGUGAAUUAACUGCUGUCCUUGGGAUGACCUGCCCUAUGAUUUGGCCUCUGGAGCAUCCCGGGUGUGUAUUUCAGAACUCCUCCCAUCUUAUCCACCUGCUGAAGGCCUGGCCCCCUGAUAUGGUUUGGCUCUGUUUCCCCACCCAAAUCUCACCUUGAAUUUUAAUAAUCCCCACGUGUCAUGGGCGGGACCAGGUGGAGGUAAUUGAAUCAUGGAGGUGGUUUCCUGAACGCUGCUCUCGUGACAGUGAGUUCACAAGAUUUUUUUUUUUAACGGAGUAUCACUCUGUCACUCAGGCUGGAGUGCAGUGGCGCGAUCUUGGUUCACUGCAACCUCUGCCUCCCGGGUUCAAGAGAUUCUCCUGCCUCAGCCUCCCGAGUAGCUGGGAUUACAGGUGCGCGCCAUCACGCCCGGCUAAUGUGUAUUUUUAGUAGAGAAAGGGUUUCACCAUGUUGGUUAGGCUGGUCUGGAACUCCUGACCUUGUGAUCUGCCUGCCUCGGCCUCCCAAAGUGCUGGGAUUACACGCGUGAGCCACUGUGCCCAGCCGAUCUGAUGCUUUUAUAAAGGGCUUUCCCCGUCCCCCUUCCUCUCUCUCACCACCCUGUGAGAAAGGUGCCUUUCUUCCCCCUUCACGUGAACUGCCUCCAUGAUUGUAAGCUUCCUGAGGCCUCCCCAGCUAUAAGGAACUGUGAGCCAAUUAAACUGCUUUAUAAAUUAACCCAGGUAUUUCUCGGGUAUUUCUUCAUAGCAGCGUGAGAAUGGACUGAUACACCCCCAAUGUGGAGUAGGGGAAGCUGAGGGAGUUAGGAGGUCCCAGCAAGGUGAAGGUGUGAUGGGGUCUUGGGACAGUGAGAGUGCUGCCUCAGGCAACAGUGGGCAGGUCAUUGAGGCUCCAUUGAGCUUGGUGAGCAGGAAGCUGAGAGAGGGAGCUGUCGAUUCAGGAGUCAGGGGUGACAUGGAAGGAACCUAGGGCUUUGCCAGGCACAGGUGAAGGAAGGCCACUUAGGUACUGGCAGUGGGAAGAGAGGGCAGGGAGUGGUGGACGGAGAGGAAGAGAAAGCUGAAC